GCAUAUCAAUAAGCGGAGGAAAAGAAAAUAACAAUGAUUCCCACAGUAACGGCGAGCGAAGAGGGAUAAGCUCAAAUUUUAAAUCUGUUGGGUUCCACUCGACAGAGUUGUAUUUUGAAGAAACGUUUUCUGCGUCCAGGAUUAGCCUAAAUCCUUUGGGAUAAGGUAUCAUGGAGGGUGAGAAUCCCGUUCAUGGUUAAUCUUAAGGAAGCUCUACGAUACGUUUUCCAAGAGUCGAGUUGUUUGGGAUUGCAGCUCAAAAUGGGAGGUAAAUUUCUCCUAAGGCUAAAUAUUGGCGAGAGACCGAUAGCGAACAAGUACCGUGAGGGAAAGAUGAAAAGAACUUUGAAAAGGGAGUUAAACAGUACGUGAAAUUGUUGAAAGGGAAACGAUUGAAGUCAGUCAUACCAACGGGAAAUCAACCUUUUGAGCUCGGUCUCGUGGGUUUUUAAGAGUUUCAAAGCCUUCGGAUUCGCGGGAUUGGGAUCUCUUGGCGUACUUUUUCGUACGGUUAGUCAACAUCGGUUUUGAAUGUCAUAAAAUGACUGGAGGAAUGUAGCUUCGAUCUCGUAUUGAAGUGUUAUAGCCUUUGGUGGAUGUGAUGUUUGAGACCGAGGAUUGCAACGGAUACCCUUCAGGGCUAUUCGUCUGAUCUCUGAUACGUUGCCUUGAUGUUGAAAGCUUGCUUAUGAUGUUAGGGUAUUACGGUCAAAAGGUUAGAACGAAUUACAUUCGUUAAGGAUGUUGACGUAAUGGCUUUAAACGAC
rnacentral:rRNA from 1 species